rnacentral:sRNA from 1 species
GUUGGGUGCUGUGGAGUAUGCCUGUAAUCUCAGCUACUCAGGAGGCUGAGACAGGAAGUUUGCAAGUUCGAGGCCAACCCUGGCAAUUUAGAAAGCCCCUGUCUCAA